CAGAUAGCUCCACAAUUCUUUCUUUGAGGAAUAAUCCAUAAAUAGCACUCAAUCAGUAUUGUACUAUGUGAAGACUCUUUCUAUAUGCAAUAUCCUACCAUUGUAUUCGUGACAUUAAA